GAUGAACGCUCGCUACAGGCUUAACACAUGCAAGUCGAGGGGCAGCAUGAUUGAAGCUUGCUUCAAUCGAUGGCGACCGGCGCACGGGUGAGUAACACGUAUCCAACCUGCCGAUAACUCGGGGAUAGCCUUUCGAAAGAAAGAUUAAUACCCGAUAGUAUAGUAUUUCCGCAUGGUUUCACUAUUAAAGAACUUCGGUUAUCGAUGGGGAUGCGUUCCAUUAGAUAGUUGGCGGGGUAACGGCCCACCAAGUCAACGAUGGAUAGGGGUUCUGAGAGGAAGGUCCCCCACAUUGGAACUGAGACACGGUCCAAACUCCUACGGGAGGCAGCAGUGAGGAAUAUUGGUCAAUGGACGAGAGUCUGAACCAGCCAAGUAGCGUGAAGGAGGACUGCCCUAUGGGUUGUAAACUUCUUUUAUACGGGAAUAAAGUGGAGUAUGCAUACUCCUUUGUAUGUACCGUAUGAAUAAGGAUCGGCUAACUCCGUG
rnacentral:rRNA from 1 species